AGUGAACACACCAGGGCGUUGAGCGCUCACGGGGCACAGAACCAGGAACAAGCGUCCAUCCGGCCUGGGGUGCUGCCGGCUGGACAGACUCGCCCCUUGCGCGCCCUGAAGGGCGGCCCCGCAGGCUGGGGCGCACAGGCGGAGGACACCGAGGCCACCUGACGCUUCCGCCCCUGGGUGCCAACAGCGUUUUGUAAUCAGGGCA
rnacentral:lncRNA from 1 species